ensembl:rRNA 5S_rRNA 5S ribosomal RNA
GUCUACAGCCAUGCCACCUGAACAUGCCCGAUCCCAUCUGAUCUUGGAAGUUAAGGAGGGUCGGGCCUGGUUAGUACUUGGAUGGGAGACCACCUACUAGGAAGACUGGGUACUGUAGGCG